UACGUAGGGGGCAAGCGUUGUCCGGAUUUAUUGGGCGUAAAGAGCGUGUAGGCGGCUAGACAGGUCGGCUGUGAAAACUCGAGGCUCAACCUCGAGAUGUCGGCGGAAACCGUCUGGCUAGAGUCCGGAAGAGGAGAGUGGAAUUCCUGGUGUAGCGGUGAAAUGCGCAGAUAUCAGGAAGAACACCUAUGGCGAAGGCAGCUCUCUGGGACGGUACUGACGCUGAGACGCGAAAGCGUGGGGAGCGAACAGG
rnacentral:rRNA from 1 species